GCGCCUCUGUCCCCUCAAAACCCUAGGGGCAACUGCAGUUCCUCCCACCGAAUAGCCGCCGUUCGCUGCCCUGUUCUCGCAGGAAAGUGGACAACGUAGUGAGUCAACAUCCCUAUCAUGCCGUGCUCACCGCAGGUGUGGCUACCAUCUGUCAUGGUACAACGCUAUUACACAAUUCUUUUCCAGAUUCCAACCAUUAUUGGUGCCAUGAGCAAAAUGCUGAGGCUGCAAAAAUUCCUUUGGAGGGGCACCUGGGUGGCUCAGUGGGUUAAAGCCUCUGCCUUCCAUUCAGGUCAUGAUCCCAGAGUCAUGGGAUCGAGCCCUGCAAUGGGCUCUCUGCUCAGCUGCAAGCCUGCUUCCCUUCCUC